rnacentral:rRNA from 1 species
CUUUCUUUGCUGGCGACCGGCGCACGGGUGAGUAACACGUAUCCAACCUGCCCUUUACUCGGGGAUAGCCUUUCGAAAGAAAGAUUAAUACCCGAUAGUAUAAUGAUUCCGCAUGGUUUCAUUAUUAAAGGAUUCCGGUAAAGGAUGGGGAUGCGUUCCAUUAGGUUGUUGGUGAGGUAACGGCUCACCAAGCCUUCGAUGGAUAGGGGUUCUGAGAGGAAGGUCCCCCACAUUGGAACUGAGACACGGCCCAG